AUUGAACGCUGGCGGCAUGCCUAACACAUGCAAGUCGAACGGUAACAGGCCUAGCUUGCUAGGUGCUGACGAGUGGCGGACGGGUGAGUAACGCGUAGGAAUCUGCCAUCUAGUUUGGGACAACCCGAGGAAACUCGGGCUAAUACCGGAUACGCUCUACGGAGGAAAGUGUGGGACCUUCGGGCCACAUGCUAGAUGAUGAGCCUGCGUUGGAUUAGCUUGUUGGUGGGGUAAAGGCCUACCAAGGCGACGAUCCAUAGCUGUUCUGAGAGGAAGAUCAGCCACACUGGGACUGAGACACGGCCCAG
rnacentral:rRNA from 1 species